rnacentral:rRNA from 1 species
CUUUGGUUAACUCAGCCGGGUGUUGGAUGUCCCGGUUCAAGCUUGUAGUCGUGGUCCUUAGGAAAAUCCGGGGAUCUUAGAUGAGGAGUGAUAACGAGGAGGCUUGCCUCCGAAGUGAGUGAUACCCUGCUUCCAGGAAAAGCCACUAAGCUUCAGCUGCACACGACCGUACCGCAAACCGACACUGGUGCGCGAGAUGAGUAUUCUAAGGCGCUUGAGAGAACUCUGGAGAAGGAACUCGGCAAAUUGACACCGUAACUUCGGAAGAAGGUGUGCCUUUAGUAGGUGAAGUCGUACAGACGGAGCCCAAUGAGGCCGCAGAGAAUCGGUGGCUGCGACUGUUUAUUAAAAACACAGCACUCUGCAAAGACGAAAGUCGACGUAUAGGGUGUGACGCCUGCCCGGUGCUGGAAGAUUAAAUGAUGGGGUGCAAGCUCUUGAUUGAAGUCCCAGUAAACGGCGGCCGUAACUAUAACGGUCCUAAGGUAGCGAAAUUCCUUGUCGGGUAAAUUCCGACCUGCACGAAUGGCGUAACGAUGGCCACGCUGUCUCCUCCAGAGACUCAGCGAAGUUGAAAUGUUUGUGAUGAUGCAAUCUCCCCGCGGAAAGACGGAAGGACCCCAUGAACCUUUACUGUAGCCUCACAUUGACUUUGAACAGAUCUGUGUAGGAUAGGUUGGAGGCUUUGAAGCGGUGCCGCUAGGUGUCGUGGAGCCAACCUUGAAAUACCACCCUGGUGUGUUUGGGGUUCUAACCUUGACCCGUUAUCCGGGUUGGGGACAGUGUGUGGUGGGCAGUUUGACUGGGGCGGUCUCCUCCCAAAGUGUAACGGAGGAGUUCGAAGGUACGCUAGGCACGGUCGGAAAUCGUGCUGAUAGUGCAUUGGCAUAAGCGUGCUUGACUGCGAGACGGACAUGUCGAGCAGGUACGAAAGUAGGACAAAGUGAUCCGGUGGUUCUGUAUGGAAGGGCCAUCGCUCAACGGAUAAAAGGUACUCUGGGGAUAACAGGCUGAUACCGCCCAAGAGUUCAUAUCGACGGCGGUGUUUGGCACCUCGAUGUCGGCUCAUCUCAUCCUGGGGCUGUAGCCGGUCCCAAGGGUAUGGCUGUUCGCCAUUUAAAGAGGUACGUGAGCUGGGUUUAAAACGUCGUGAGACAGUUUGGUCCCUAUCUUCCGUGGGCGCUGCAAGAUUGAGAGAGCCUGCUCCUAGUACGAGAGGACCGGAGUGAACGCACCUCUGGUGCAUCGGUUGUCACGCCAGUGGCAUAGCCGAGUAGCUAAGUGCGGAAGAGAUAACCGCUGAAAGCAUCUAAGCGGGAAACUCGUCUCAAGAUGAGUCUUGCCGGGGCCUUGAGCCCCCUGAAGAGUCGUUCGAGACCAGGACGUUGAUAGGCCGGGUGUGGAAGCGCGGUAACGCGUUAAGCUGACCGGUACUAAUUGCUCGUGAGGCUUGACCC